AGUGAACGCUGGCGGUAGGCCUAACACAUGCAAGUCGAACGGCAGCACAGUAAGGGCUUGCUCUUACGGGUGGCGAGUGGCGGACGGGUGAGGAAUACAUCGGAAUCUACUUUUUCGUGGGGGAUAACGUAGGGAAACUUACGCUAAUACCGCAUACGACCUACGGGUGAAAGCAGGGGAUAUUCGGACCUUGCGCGAUUGAAUGAGCCGAUGUCGGAUUAGCUAGUUGGCGGGGUAAAGGCCCACCAAGGCGACGAUCCGUAGCUGGUCUGAGAGGAUGAUCAGCCACACUGAAACUGAGACACGGUCCAGACUCCUACGGGAGGCAGCAGUGGGGAAUAUUGGACAAUGGGCGCAAGCCUGAGCCAGCCAUACCGCGUGGGUGAAGAAGGCCUUCGGGUUGUAAAGCCCUUUUGUUGGGAAAGAAAAGCAGCAUGUUAAUACCCCGCUGUUCUGACGGUACCCAAAGAAUAAGCACCGGCUAACUUCGUG
rnacentral:rRNA from 1 species